AUUGAACGCUGGCGGCAGGCCUAACACAUGCAAGUCGAACGGCAGCGGGGGAUAGCUUGCUAUCCUGCCGGCGAGUGGCGGACGGGUGAGUAAUGCAUGGGGAGCUGCCCAAUCGAGGGGGAUAACAACUGGAAACGGUUGCUAAUACCGCAUACGCCCUGCGGGGGAAAGGUGGGGACCUUCGGGCCUACCGCGAUUGGAUGCACCCAUGUGGGAUUAGCUGGUUGGUGAGGUAACGGCUCACCAAGGCGACGAUCUCUAGCUGGUCUGCGAGGAUGACCAGCCACACUGGAACUGAGACACGGUCCAGACUCCUACGGGAGGCAGCAGUGGGGAAUAUUGCACAAGGGGGGAAACCCUGAUGCAGCCAUGCCGCGUGUGUGAAGAAGGCCUUCGGGUUGUAAAGCACUUUCAGUGGGGAGGAAGGGGAGUAAGCUAAUAACUUGCUUCAUUGACGUUACCCACAGAAGAAGCACCGGCUAACUCCGUGCCAGCCGCCGCAGUAA
rnacentral:rRNA from 1 species